rnacentral:rRNA from 1 species
GAGUUUGAUCUUGGCUCAGAUUGAACGCUGGCGGCAGGCCUAACACAUGCAAGUCGAGCGGUAGAGAGAAGCUUGCUUCUCUUGAGAGCGGCGGACGGGUGAGUAAUGCCUAGGAAUCUGCCUGGUAGUGGGGGAUAACGCUCGGAAACGGACGCUAAUACCGCAUACGUCCUACGGGAGAAAGCAGGGGACCUUCGGGCCUUGCGCUAUCAGAUGAGCCUAGGUCGGAUUAGCUAGUUGGUGAGGUAAUGGCUCACCAAGGCGACGAUCCGUAACUGGUCUGAGAGGAUGAUCAGUCACACUGGAACUGAGACACGGUCCAGACUCCUACGGGAGGCAGCAGUGGGGAAUAUUGGACAAUGGGCGAAAGCCUGAUCCAGCCAUGCCGCGUGUGUGAAGAAGGUCUUCGGAUUGUAAAGCACUUUAAGUUGGGAGGAAGGGCAGUAAAUUAAUACUUUGCUUGUUUGACGUUACCGACAGAAUAAGCACCGGCUAACUCUGUGCCAGCACG